UGUGGUGCGGGGUGUUGGUGGUGGAGACCGGGACGGGAAUGUGGCAGGGAACAGGGACCAUGGAACUGGGGUUCGCCCGUUGCGUUGUGUUGAAGUGUCAUCGGUGUAGGCUUCAAGCUGCGAGCUAGAAAGCGAUUGAGCUGCAUUCCAAGGGCCAGAUGCUGCGUCCAACACGCCCAGGUGUAGCAGCCCUGGCAAGGGCUUUACGCGGGGACGCGCGCCACUUCUGCCAGCGCUGCCGCCAUGACGGCCAUGACCACGAUGCACUCGGUGUAGGAGUCCGGCAGCCGCCCUGAGCUCGGAGGGGCGAGGACCGCCUUGAAGCCGAGGGACCUGCAGCCAAGAGCGAUGUCCGCCGAGGGGCGGAGCAGCGGAGUCGAAGCAGCCAAGCAAGGCAGCGCCAGAAAGGCGAUUGGCGGGGCUGAAGCGGCCGAAGCGGCCGAAUCGAUGUCGAGCCCAGCCAAGCCCAGCGCCCCGCCUUUCCUUAUCUCUUUGACGAGCAGAAGUCGAAGUCGCCAAAGAAGGUGGUGGUGCGGUGCAAAUCGAAUGAACCGCACCACGUCACCGUAUACCUCGGGCCUCUUACUCUAGACGCGUUUUGAGCUCCAGAGUCGCUAAAAAGGACUCAUCGAGCGUGUGACCCCACCAACGAAUUUCCUUUUUCGGAGAACAGUCCAUUGGGGUCAAACGUUCGGUUCGAGUCUCAUUUAGCGACUCUGGAGCUCAACGCCACCUCCACCGGUCUUCUGGCCCACUGUGGAUCGGUUGGUCGACGUCGCGAGGACCGCGAGGCUGCGUGCGAACGGUGGCCGCCUCUCUCGCAUUAAUGGGUCAUCCCAUUCGAAAUGCGAGGGAGAGGCACUGCUCGCGGAAUCUGCCUGCAGGCAUGCCGUGAGGGCAUUCAUGCAUUCCCCGGCGACGGCAUUGCCUCCUUUCUCGAGGGAAUGCCGAUCGCCGGGGACGCAGCGGGCAGUGUGAUUUUCCAAGCUACGAUGAAUAAAGUUAUGUUCGGAACUCGAA